rnacentral:rRNA from 1 species
GACGUAGGAUGCAAGCGUUGUUCGGAAUUACUGGGCGUAAAGCGUCCGUAGGCGGGUCGGCAAGUGGAUAGUUAAAACCCGGGGCUCAACCCCGAGGGUGCUAUCCAGACUGCCGGUCUGGAGGUCGGCAGAGGGUAAUGGAAUUCCCGGUGUAGCGGUGGAAUGCGUAGAGAUCCGGAAGAACACCGGUGGCGAAGGCGGCCUGCUGGGCAGUUGCUGACACUGAGGCGCGACAGCGUGGGGAGCAAACAGG